rnacentral:tRNA from 1 species
GCCCGGGUGGCUCAGUGGCGGAGCGUCUGCCUUCAGCUCAGGACGUGAUCCCAGGGUCCUGGGAUCGAGCCCCACUUCGGGCU